UACGUAGGGUGCAAGCGUUAAUCGGAAUUACUGGGCGUAAAGCGUGCGCAGGCGGUUCGCUAAGACCGAUGUGAAAUCCCCGGGCUUAACCUGGGAACUGCAUUGGUGACUGGCGGGCUAGAGUAUGGCAGAGGGGGGUAGAAUUCCACGUGUAGCAGUGAAAUGCGUAGAGAUGUGGAGGAAUACCGAUGGCGAAGGCAGCCCCCCUGGGCCAAUACUGACGCUCAUGCACGAAAGCGUGGGGAGCAAACAGG
rnacentral:rRNA from 1 species